GUCGGGCCGUUCCCCGUUCGGGGGACGAGGGUGACAGGUGGUGCAUGGUUGUCGUCAGCUCGUGUCGUGAGAUGUUGGGUUAAGUCCCGCAGCGAGCGCAACCCUCGACCCUAGUUGCCAGCAUUCAGUUGGGCACUCUAAGGUGACUGCCGGCUAAAAGUCGGAGGAAGGUGGGGAUGACGUCAAAUCAUCAUGCCCCUUAUGACCUGGGCUACACACGUGCUACAAUGGGCGGUACAAAGGGUCGCGAACCCGCGAGGGGGAGCCAAUCCCAAAAAGCCGCUCUCAGUUCGGAUUGCAGGCUGCAACUCGCCUGCAUGAAGCCGGAAUCGCUAGUAAUCGCGGAUCAGCAUGCCGCGGUCGAAUACGUUCCCGGGCCUU
rnacentral:rRNA from 1 species